UGAGGAGGCGAUCACGCUUGCAGUCGCGGAUGAGGUGUUGGGAGAUCGCUUUGCGGCUUGCUGAUUUGGGAAGGAGCUGGGCUGUUGCGGAAGGAACGAUGGAGGAGGCUGGAGCGCUGGGAUGUGGUUGGGAUGCUGGCAGCUGCUCUCGGGAUGUGCUCAGGCGGGGUCGUGAUCGACGGGAGGAAGAAGCUGGGGCUCGUGGAGGGGGCUGUGGACUUCCUUCUUUGGCCCAAGUGGGAGACGCGAUGCAGGGGGGAACGAGCUGGCCGUACGGGCU
rnacentral:lncRNA from 1 species